rnacentral:lncRNA from 1 species
CAUUGCCCACAAGAUCUACUUUUGCUGUGGAUGAACUUUGCGCACAAACCCUAUUAUUGCUAAGCACAAACUUUGUGCAUAGACUCUACUGGUGUCGUGCGAGCUCUAUUAGUGUCAUCCACGUAUUUUGAGCAUGAACUUGAUUCCAGCCCUGCGCAUACUUUGUAUGCGAACCAUGUAACUACUCAACCCAAACUCUGUGAACGAACUCUAUCACUGCCAUGCAGGAACCUUAAGGGGUCGACUCGCCUUGCACUGGGGUCGACUCCAAUUCUUUACGAGAUGGCUCGUGAAUACCUUGAGUUGGCUCUCUCAGUCGGACAGAAAGCAUCUCCUCUGUCUUCUUCUCUGCAGGUUGUCUGGGUUGACUCAUCUUUUGCUGGGGUCGACUCCUGCUCUGCUGAGGUCGACUCGUGAGAAUCUUGGGUCGACUCGCCCGCUGUUCUUGGCUCUUCUUUUCUUUAACUCUGGUCACUUGGGGUCGACUCGGCUCUUACUGGGGUCGAUUUCUUCAGUAAUUUGACAGCCUUUUACAGAGAUCUUGACUUGGUUUUUCUUGAUUCUUUGAAGGUUGUAAAUGAUCUUUUUCCUUU